rnacentral:rRNA from 1 species
GAUGAACGCUGGCGGCGUGCCUAACACAUGCAAGUCGAGCGAGAAGCUUACAUAGGAAUCUUCGGAUGAAUAAGUAAGUGGAAAGCGGCGGACGGGUGAGUAACGCGUGGGUAACCUACCCUAUACAGGGGGAUAACACAUUGAAAAGUGUGCUAAUACCGCAUAAGCACACAAUAUCGCAUGAUAUUGUGUGAAAAACUCCGGUGGUAUAGGAUGGACCCGCGUCUGAUUAGCUAGUUGGUGAGGUAAUGGCUCACCAAGGCGACGAUCAGUAGCCGGCCUGAGAGGGUGAACGGCCACAUUGGGGACUGAGACACGGCCCAAACUCUACGGGAGGCAGCAGUGGGGAAUAUUGCACAAUGGGCGAAAGCCUGAUGCAGCGACGCCGCGUGAGGGAUGACGGCCUUCGGGUUGUAAACCUCGUUCCAGCAGGACAAGCGCGAGUGACGGUACCUGCAGAGAAGC